rnacentral:rRNA from 1 species
AUUGAACGCUGGCGGCAGGCCUAACACAUGCAAGUCGAACGAGUGGCGGACGGGUGAGUAAUGUCUGGGAAACUGCCUGAUGGAGGGGGAUAACUACUGGAAACGGUCGCUAAUACCGCAUACCAUCGGAGGUGCCCAGCUGGGAUUAGCUGGUUGGUGGGGUAACGGCUCACCAAGGCGACGAUCCCUAGCUGGUCUGAGAGGAUGACCAGCCACACUGGAAAUGAGAGACGGUCCAGACGCCUCAGAGAGGCAGCAGUGGGGAAUAUUGCACAAUGGGCGCAAGCCUGAUGAAGCCAUGCCGCGGGUAUGAAGAAGGGCUUGGAGGUGUAAAGUACUUUCAGCGGGGAGGCGUUACCCGCAGAAGAAGCACCGGCUAACUCCGUGCCAGCAGCCGCGGUAAUAC